UACGUAGGUGACAAGCGUUAUCCGGAAUACUGGGCGUAAAGCGCACGCAAGCGGUUGGACAAGUCUGGCGUGAAAUCUCCUGGCUUAACUAGGAGCGGUCGCUGGAGACUGUUCGGCUUGAGGCGAUGAGAGGGGUGCAGAAUUCCCGGUGUAGUGGUGGAAUGCGUAGAGAUCGGGAGGAAUACCAGUGGCGAAAGCGGCACCCUGGCGUCGUACUGACGCACAUGUGCGAAAGCGUGGGGAGCGAACGGGG
rnacentral:rRNA from 1 species